AGUUUAGAGAAGCAUCUGAUCUAGAAGGUCUUCCUCCUUGAGACAGAGAGCAUCUGAGAAGCUUAUGAACCUACUGGAUUGCAGGCCUGCCAGUAGCUGAAGCCCAUUCCAUCGGAGUUAUUGCAGUUCUGUGGGCAUAAGCAUUCUCUGUGGAACUGUGCCAGCAGCUUAUCUGGUUAUUGCUUAACCAGUUUCCUUGAAAUUAUUGCUGUACUAUGAAGAAAAGUUUUGAAGGCUGUGAUUAACAAGUAGCUCCACCCAGUUGUUGUGGGUACUGUGAAUAAAUUCCUACUUGUUGGUGCUUGUAAAGCAAGAAUUGGGGUAAUCAGUUUAAUAGGGGGAUUAAAUGACAAAAUGUGGAAGGCGACUGUUCUGCUGACUUUGCUGAGCCUGAGUGUGACCUUCGAGCUAGGUCUUGCUCAUAAACAAUGGAGUGCCUUUCGCAGCAUGUUUAGAAGGAUCAAGUGUUCCACACCAUCAAAAGGAGACCCAGGGCACCCGCUCUUCCUUACCCCUUAUAUUGAAAGUGGGAGAACUGAGGAAGGAAGGCAGUUAAGUUUGGUUGGCCCUCUCCAAGGAGUAAAUGUGAAGAGUUACUCUGGCUAUCUCACAGUGAACAAGACUCACAACAGCAAUCUCUUCUUCUGGUUCUUCCCUGCUGAGGUGCAGCCAGAGAAUGCCCCGGUCCUUCUUUGGCUCCAAGGUGGACCAGGAGGAACAUCAAUGUUUGGGCUUUUUGUUGAACAUGGACCAUAUGUUGUCGACAAGAAUCUCAGAUUGUUUAAACGGAAGUUUCCUUGGACAUCUAAAUUUUCCAUGCUUUACAUUGACAAUCCAGUUGGGACUGGCUUUAGUUUUACUGAUGAUACGGGAUAUGCAGUAAACCAAGAUGAUGUAGGAAGAGAUUUAUACAGUGCACUCAUCCAGUUUUUCCAGCUAUUUCCAGACUAUCAGAAAAAUGACUUCUAUGUUACAGGAGAAUCUUAUGCAGGGAAAUAUGUGCCUGCUAUUGGCUACUACAUCCAUACCCAUAGUUCCAAAGCCAAAGUUAAGAUCAACUUCAAAGGAGUUGCUAUUGGUGAUGGUUUCUGUGACCCUGAAAUGAUGCUGGGUGGCUAUGCAGAAUUCCUGUACCAAAUUGGCUUGGUGGAUGAGAAGCAGAGGGAGUAUGUCCAGCAGCAGACUGACCUGGGAGUAAUUUAUAUCCAGCAGAAGAAGUGGAUGAAAGCCUUUGAAGUAUUUGAUACUUUAUUGAAUGGUGAUGAAACAAAUUCUUCCUACACUUGGAAUGUUACAGGAUGUAGCAACUACUUUAACUUUUUGCAGUGCCAGGAGCCUGCUGACCAGGAAUAUUUUGGAGCGUUUUUAUCACUUUCAGAAGUGAGGAAAGCUAUCCAUGUGGGAAAUCUUACCUUCCAUGAUGGGUCUACAGUUGAGAAUCGUUUGCUUGAAGAUGUGAUGAAGACAAUAAAGCCAUGGUUGGCUGUAAUUAUGGAUAAUUACAGGGUUCUGUUAUACAAUGGGCAGCUUGAUAUCAUAGUAGCAGCUCCACUGACGGAACGCUUUCUGUGUACUGUGCCAUGGAGCAAAGUGGAAGAAUACAAAAAUGCUGAAAGACUUGUAUGGAGGAUCCAUCCCCUUGACAAAGAGGUAGCUGGUUAUGUGCGCCAAGCUGGUGAAUUGUAUCAGAUAACUCGUUUAAGUGUCCUCAGUCCAACUACAUGUCUGCACAGAAGUCAUUUUGUCAGAUAACGGCCAAGAUGGAACCCUGAUUACUACUUUCUGUUUGACUACUACAGACCGAGAUUGUAAUUGUUCGAGGUGGAGGACAUAUUUUACCUUAUGACCAACCUGAAAGAUCAUUUGACUUGAUUGACAGAUUUAUCUCUGGAGAAGGAUGGAAGACAAAUGAUUCUAAAAUUAAAACUUAAAAUGUAGUGUAAAUGUACUACCUUGCCAAAUGCUUCAGAAAUGUUUUGAAUGUACUAUAGUGGAAA